rnacentral:rRNA from 1 species
UACGGGGGGAGCAAGCGUUGUUCGGAUUUACUGGGCGUAAAGGGCGCGUAGGCGGCACCGCAAGUCGACUGUGAAAUCUCCGGGCUUAACUCGGAAAGGUCAGCCGAUACUGCGGGGCUAGAGUGCAGAAGGGGCAACUGGAAUUCUCGGUGUAGCGGUGAAAUGCGUAGAUAUCGAGAGGAACACCUGCGGCGAAGGCGGGUUGCUGGGCUGACACUGACGCUGAUGCGCGAAAGCUAGGGGAGCAGACGGG